ACCAGCAGCCCCGCGCCCUGCGCAGUGCCAGAGCUGCCCGUCCAGUCCCAUCCCGUCCCGUCCCAUCCCAACCUGUCCCGGGCACCCCCGAGCCCCCUUGCCCGCAGCGGGGAGGGGUCUCCGGCCGCGGGCGUGCCGGUGGCCGCGGGCUGGAAGUGGGAGGGAGCCGGGCCGGAGGGGGGCACGUCCCGGGAGAGGGGUGGGGAGAGCCGGCGGCGAGCCGGACUGCGCCGCAACGCCCCUCGCUAUAAAGCCGGGGGCCGCGCAGCGGAGCGAGAGGAGUGGUACGGCCGGGGAGGGAGAGCGGGGCGAGCCCAGCACGGGGCCGUGCCGUCCGGUCCCGUCCCGUCCCGUCCCGUCCGGGCCAGCCGCCGCCGAGACAGGCACAGAAAAUGGGUAAUAACUGAAGACUACCUCACAGCAGGAAAGAGCGAUCAGAUUGGCAAUGCAUCACUGAAUGGCAUGACUGAAGACAAGACAAAGAGCGGGCUACAACACAAGUUUAGCAGAACAAGAGCAGAACAUGACAGUGGGAGAGGGACUACCAGGGAAGCCUCUAUUUGGACUAACCUAUAAUUCCACAAGGAAGCCCUAUCACCCAUCGUUGUCUACAAAGUUAUUAGCUGUGUCUCCUGCCCUUCCUCCUGCAAACAUCUAGAGAAAGCAACAGAAACCUAAUUUUAGAACACACUUUCAGUAGUUUUGUACUAGUAACACCACUGAUUUUGAGCUGCUUCUUUCACAGUAAAUAAAACUAGAGAUCUAAAACCUUGCA
rnacentral:lncRNA from 1 species